rnacentral:lncRNA from 1 species
AUAUAAUCCUCUCCAGGGGCAGGAUGAUGCCACAGACUGUAGAGCCUGCCCAGCAGGUAGAGUUUGUACCCAGGCUGGCUUGACCCAGCCAGACUCAGAGUGCAUGGCUGGGAACAGGAGGGAAGCAGAAGCCCCCUGUCCCAUGUCCAGUUGGUCACUACUGCCCCCCAGGCACAAAAUAUCCAGCUCAAUACAAGUGUGCCCCAGGUACCUGGAGCAAUAGGACAAGCCUGGCAUCAGAGGAGGAAUGUUUGCCCUGUCCUGCAGGCUGGUUUUGUGUGGCAGGAGCUCAUGUGCCUUCAGGGAGAUGCAGCCCUGGACAUUACUGCCCUGAUGGUACACGGACAAGCACCCAGUUCCCCUGUCCUGCUGGAACCUACAGUACCAGGCUGGGAAAUGGCCGAGUGGAAGACUGCCCCGCCUGCCCCAUGGGAUCCUACUGCACAGAUGGGACCUCCAAGCCAACUCUAUGCCCAGUAGGAACUUACCGCAAGGAGCAAGGAGGAAAGGUGGCUGAAGACUGCAUCCCCUGCCCUGGAGGAUACCACUGCCCUGAGCUUGGCACUGUG